rnacentral:ncRNA from 1 species
GCGCUUUGAGGUGGAAAUUUUGUGUCGCCAUACGCCGCAUGCCUUUGGGCAAUGGGCAAAAGAGAUGCAGGGCCAGGCACGCCUGCCAAAGCAC